AUCUGGGCGGCGGAAUUCAGGAUGGCGGUGCGCCGCCGUUUGCAAUUUCCGUCGCCGCGUUACAGACGUCGCGACCUGUUCGUCACCGGUCCCUGUUCGAAGGAGUCGCGUUCGAGCUCGUUGUGGGUGCGCGUUUCGCGCGUGCACCGCACGGCGAAGGCGCGAUCUUCUGGCUGGCGACGGACAGUACGUAGAACGGUGUCCGAUGCCGUUACGUCUCGUACAACGCGCGCAUCGGUACCGGUCGGCGACGAGUUCUUCGGGCCUCUUUCCGACCCGUCUUGAAACACGGACCAAGGAGUCUAACAUGCGCGCGAGUCGCGGGGUGUCGAACGUACUACGGUGCGUUCGUUACGUUGCGAAACCCGUACCAUGUAGAAGGCGUAAUGAAAGUGAAUGGGGAAGAUGGUGUUCCGAGUUCACGUUCCGCGAUCGUCGGUAUCGCGGCCGGACAUCCGCACUCCCGGGGCGUCUCAACGGCCCGUCGCGAAUGCGGACAGUCGGCUCUCGGGCUGGCUGUCGGUCUGCGACGAACCGAGGCGCACCUAUAGCGUGCACGUUGGUACCCGAAAGAUGGUGAACUAUGCCUGGCCAGGAUGAAGUCAGGGGAAACCCUGAUGGAGGUCCGCAGCGAUUCUGACGUGCAAAUCGAUCGUCUGAGCUGGGUAUAGGGGCGAAAGACUAAUCGAACCAUC
rnacentral:rRNA from 1 species